rnacentral:rRNA from 1 species
UCCCAUAUGGUCGACCUGCAGGCGGCCGCGAAUUCACUAGUGAUUAGAGUUUGAUCAUGGCUCAGAUUGAACGCUGGCGGCAUGCCUUACACAUGCAAGUCGAACGGCAGCGCGGGGCAACCUGGCGGCGAGUGGCGAACGGGUGAGUAAUAUAUCGGAACGUACCCUGGAGUGGGGGAUAACGUAGCGAAAGUUACGCUAAUACCGCAUACGAUCUAAGGAUGAAAGUGGGGGAUCGCAAGACCUCAUGCUCCUGGAGCGGCCGAUAUCUGAUUAGCUAGUUGGUGGGGUAAAGGCCUACCAAGGCAUCGAUCAGUAGCUGGUCUGAGAGGACGACCAGCCACACUGGAACUGAGACACGGUCCAGACUCCUACGGGAGGCAGCAGUGGGGAAUUUUGGACAAUGGGCGAAAGCCUGAUCCAGCAAUGCCGCGUGAGUGAAGAAGGCCUUCGGGUUGUAAAGCUCUUUUGUCAGGGAAGAAACGUGAGAGCUAAUAUCUUUUGCUAAUGACGGUACCUGAAGAAUAAGCACCGGCUAACUACGUGCCAGCAGCCGCGGUAAUACGAAUCGAAUUCCCGCGGCCCGCAUGGCGGCCGGAAGCAUG